GGUAUACAGACUGUCUCUCCUUCUCAGUGGAAUCUGAAUGACUCUCCCCUCCACAACUACAUAGCCAGGUCUGUCUUAGUGAAAUAGGGCCAGGUCUGUCUUAGUGAAAUAGGGCCAGGUAUGUCUUAGUGAAAUAGGGCCAGGUAUGUCUUAGUGAAAUAGGGCCAGGUAUGUCUUAGUGAAAUAGGGCCAGGUAUGUCUUAGUGAAAUAGGGCCAGGGAUGUCUUAGUGAAAUAGGGCCAGGGAUGUCUUAGUGAAAUAGGGCCAGGUAUGUACAUCUGUUGCAUAUAAACAUUCACUGUUGGGUCUCCUCAAAUACCAAAAGGAGACUGGACAUAAGUCUGAGAUUAGGUUCACUUCCAUAAUGUAAUAGAUCAUUAAUAUAUGAUUAUGUCUCAAUUCAAUUCAAGGGGCUUUAUUGGCAUGGGAAACAUGUGUUAACAUUGCCAAAGCAAGUGAGGUAGAUAAUAUACAAAAGUGAAAUAAACAAUAAAAAU
ensembl:lncRNA